UGCCUAAAACAUAGCAUUAAUGCAAUGGAUCCCAUUAGAACUCCGCAGUUAUGCGUGCUGAGGCUAGAGUAGUACUGAGAUGGGUGAACGUCUGGGAAGUCCUAGUCUUUUACAUGC
rnacentral:rRNA from 1 species